UGGGGUAUAGCCAAGUGGUAAGGCAACGGACUUUGACUCCGUCAUUCGUUGGUUCGAAUCCAGCUACCCCAG
rnacentral:tRNA from 4 species